rnacentral:rRNA from 1 species
GACGAACGCUGGCGGCAGGCUUAACACAUGCAAGUCGAGCGCCCCGCAAGGGGAGCGGCAGACGGGUGAGUAACGCGUGGGAACGUACCCUUUGCUACGGAAUUGCUCCGGGAAACUGGAACUAAUACCGUAUGUGCCAUACGGGGGAAAGAUUUAUCGGCAAAGGAUAGGCCAGCGUUGGGUUAGCUGGUUGGGGGGGUAAUGGCCUACUAAGGCGACGAUCCAUAGCUGGUCUGAGAGGAUGAUCAGCCACAUUGGGACUGUGACACGACCCAAACCCCUACGGGAGGCAGCAGUGGGGAAUAUUGGAAAAUGGGCGCAAGCCUGAUCCAGCCAUGCCGCGUGAGUGAUGAAGGCCUUAGGGUUGUAAGCUCUUUCACCGGAGAAGAUAAUGACGGUAUCCGGAGGAGAAGCCCCGGCUAACUUCGUGCCAGCAGCCGCAGUAACAC